UCGAAAGAUAAAGUAGAAAACAAAGACGGAAAAUUGCUAUGGGAAUUAAUUGAAGAAAGGUUGGGAAGUCUUGAAUGGGGUGAAGGAAUGGGACAAGGAGGUGGAAUUUACCUGGAUAGGUAAAAGAGGGGAAAUGGUAAUCGACUACGUAAUAGUAAACGGAUUAGCAGAAGAAGAGGUAGAAACAUUCAAGAUAGGAGAAAGAGUGGACUCCGAUCACAUGCCACUAGAAGUAAAAGUGAGGGGAAUAUGUAGAGGGAGCGGAUGCUUAAGGAAUGAAGUAGGAAAAGAGAAGAAGAUAUGGGUAUGGAAUGGAAAAGGAAUUGACCAUUAUAAAAAAAAAUGUUGGAAGUGGAAUUUAAAGAAAAAGGAACUGAAAAGAAGAUGGAAGAAUUAAAAAGAGAAAUUGAAAACGCAGCCAUAAGAAAAGCAAUUUUAACGAGAAAUUUAGAAAAGAGAAACAGAUGGUGGGAUAGCAGAUGCAGAGAUUUAAAAACAGAAGCAAGAAAAUGUUUACGAAGGUGGAAAAAGGGGAAAGGUAUAAAAGAAGAGUACUGGCAAGCAAAAAAUAAUUAUAGAAAACGAUGCAAAAAAAGAAAGAAGAGAUACAGCAAGAAGAAGAAGAAAAAAUUAAAGCCAUAAGAACUGAGCAAGAGGCAUGUUAGUAUGUAAAUAAAGAACGCAAGAACAAAAUCACGAUUAGUGAAGACAUACCUAUAAUGCAGUGGACGAAACAUUUUAUGGAACUGUUGAAUGGACAGGAAGAGAGAAUUGUAGUGCAAGAUAGUAAAACCGGGGUUGGUGGUAGAGAAAGGGAGGCUGAGAUUCGAGUAGAGGAAAUAGGAAAAUAAGUAGGAAGACUGAAAAGAGGAAAAGCACCGGGGAGGGAUGGGUUGGCAAACGAAGUGUGAAUAUUUGGGACAGAUGGGAUGAUUGAAAGAUUGAGCGAGUUAAUGAAUGAUGUGUGGACGGGUAAAGGUUUUUCCAGAGAAUGGAGAGUAGGGCAAAUAUGCCCAAUUCAUAAAAAAGGUAGUAAAGAAAAAGCAGAGAAUUAUCGGGGAAUAACUCUCCUAAAUACGGCAUAUACACUGUGCAAUGGUGUUAAAUGAAAAGUUGGUGACAGAGAUGAACGAAAAGACUAUAUUACCGGAAAGUCAAGCGGGAUUUAGAAGAGGUAGAGGGGCUAUGGACAAUGUAUACAGGGACAUUUUUUUAACUCUGAACAUACACCAGAAAGUCCCUAUGUUCAAUCUGAACAAAAAAAAAAAAACACAUCAAUGUAUUGAAAGUAUACAACCAAGAUUACAUCAAACCUACGUGAUUAAUAGAAAAAAAUUAAACUUGCCAACUUGUCAACUUGUCAAAAUAUAAUUUGGAAAUUUAAGAAAUGAAUACAACAGAAGAAAAUGUACAAAUAUUAAAUUGGUUCUAUCGCCAUGUAAUCAUUCGAAUUGUGGGUAGUUGGAUGUGGAGGACUUCCAUUCAUUUGAAACGAAACCAGUCAUCAUUAAUAUUUAAGUUUUGAAUUUGGUGCACUAUGUGGUAACGAAGCAGUCAUAAAAAGGAAUCAGAAUUCAAAUUUUCUUCAAUAAAAAAUGGGCCAGGUUUAAGGUUUGGUUUAUAUUUCCUUCCAACAUUUUAGCCCUACGGUUAUAUUAUGCUCUUGUCAAAUUUUACAGACGAGGAUUAGCAUUUGACUAAUAUCUGUAAAGAAAAGAAAAAGAUAUGAAGGGACAAGGGAGUUAACAGGACUAACCGAUAACUUUGGGAAUAGACUUCACCAUCUAAUGAUAAUAAUGCUUCAUCUGCAAAUACGAUGUUUUGUAAAAUGUUUUUAUUGUUUCUUAAAUUAAAUACUGUUUCUCAAAAA